GACGAACGCUGGCGGCGUGCCUAAUACAUGCAAGUGGGACGCAAGGGAACACACUGUGCUUGCACACCGUGUUUUCUUGAGUCGCGAACGGGUGAGUAACGCGUAGGUAACCUGCCUAUUAGCGGGGGAUAACUAUUGGAAACGAUAGCUAAUACCGCAUAAUAUUAAUUAUUGCAUGAUAAUUGAUUGAAAGAUGCAAGCGCAUCACUAGUAGAUGGACCUGCGUUGUAUUAGCUAGUUGGUAAGGUAAGAGCUUACCAAGGCGACGAUACAUAGCCGACCUGAGAGGGUGAUCGGCCACACUGGGACUGAGACACGGCCCAGACUCCUACGGGAGGCAGCAGUAGGGAAUCUUCGGCAAUGGACGAAAGUCUGACCGAGCAACGCCGCGUGAGUGAAGAAGGUUUUCGGAUCGUAAAGCUCUGUUGUAAGUCAAGAACGUGUGUGAGAGUGGAAAAGUUCACACAAGUGACGGUAG
rnacentral:rRNA from 1 species